rnacentral:rRNA from 1 species
AUUGAACGCUGGCGGCAGGCUUAACACAUGCAAGUCGAGCGGGGGAGGUUGCUUCGGUAACUGACCUAGCGGCGGACGGGUGAGUAAUACUUAGGAAUCUGCCUAUUAAUGGGGGACAACAUCUCGAAAGGGAUGCUAAUACCGCAUACGCCCUACGGGGGAAAGCAGGGGAUCACUUGUGACCUUGCGUUAAUAGAUGAGCUUAAGUCGGAUUAGCUAGUUGGUGGGGUAAAGGCCUACCAAGGCGACGAUCUGUAGCGGGUCUGAGAGGAUGAUCCGCCACACUGGGACUGAGACACGGCCCAGACUCCUACGGGAGGCAGCAGUGGGGAAUAUUGGACAAUGGGGGGAACCCUGAUCCAGCCAUGCCGCGUGUGUGGAGAAGGCCUUAUGGUUGUAAAGCACUUUAAGCGAGGAGGAGGCUCUUUUGGUUAAUACCCAAGAUGAGUGGACGUUACUCGCAGAAUAAGCACCGGCUAACUCUGUGCCAGCCGCCGCCGUAAAAC